ACUAUUUGUUAGAGUCAAGCCAGGUUUGAACCAGGAUGGACUUGCCUUAGAGUUUUAAGGUUUUGAAACACUAUUGUUCUCUACCUCCUAGGAACUUUUUGAUGAAUUACACCAAAGAACAUUUGUGUAACAAUGGUGUGUAGAACACUGGAAAGGCGUCAUGAUAAUUUGUAGGUAUCAUCUGUUUUCACAGAUGAAGAAAUGGAGGCCAAAAGUCAAUAAUCUGUCCAGUUUCACACAGCUGAUCAGUGGAAAGACUGGGGUUUGAAUUCUAAUCUGUUUGACAGGUGACUGCUCAUCAUGCACAGGCGGGUGAUAUUGAGGACCAUGACAACGGUGAAGGCCACAAGGCAGACGACCAUGUAGUAGACGC